GACGAACGCUGGCGGCGUGCUUAACACAUGCAAGUCGAACGGUGAACUCCGCUUGCGGGGGGAUCAGUGGCGAACGGGUGAGUAACACGUGGGCAACCUGCCCUCAGCUCUGGGAUAACUCCAAGAAAUUGGGGCUAAUACCGGAUAUGACCGCUGACCGCAUGGUCUGGUGGUGGAAAGAUUUAUCGGCUGGGGAUGGGCCCGCGGCCUAUCAGCUUGUUGGUGGGGUAGUGGCCUACCAAGGCGACGACGGGUAGCCGGCCUGAGAGGGUGACCGGCCACACUGGGACUGAGACACGGCCCAGACUCCUACGGGAGGCAGCAGUGGGGAAUAUUGCGCAAUGGGCGAAAGCCUGACGCAGCGACGCCGCGUGGGGGAUGACGGCCUUCGGGUUGUAAACCUCUUUCAGCAGGGACGAAGCGAAAGCGACGGUACCUGCAGAAGAAGCACCGGCCAACUACGUG
rnacentral:rRNA from 1 species